rnacentral:rRNA from 1 species
UACGUAGGGUGCGAGCGUUAAUCGGAAUUACUGGGCGUAAAGCGUGCGCAGGCGGUUUUGUAAGCCAGAUGUGAAAUCCCCGGGCUUAACCUGGGAAUGGCAUUUGGGACUGCAAGGCUGGAGUGUGGCAGAGGAGACUGGAAUUCCUGGUGUAGCAGUGAAAUGCGUAGAUAUCAGGAGGAACUACGAUGGCGAAGGCCAGGUCUCUGGGCUGACGACUGACGCUCAUGCACGAAAGCGUGGGGAGCAAACAGG